CCCUACAACUUUUAGUUGACAUACACUUAUAACUAUAACUUGUUUCUCCCAAAAUUAUUUGAACAUUAACUGGAUUCAAGGAAAGUUUUAACAUUUGGCAGGAUGCUAAUGGAACUAUUUAACCAUGAGCAAAUUAAGCCCUUUUCCUCACAAAAUUGAUUCCCAGAAAGGUGUGCGUUACAACAGACUGUGUAAAAGCCAUAAAUAUGCAGUCUGGUAGAAAACAAAUAAAAGCAAAGAUUUAGGAUAGAUACUGCAGUGUUGAUAAAAACAGUAAUAGGUUAAGAUGCUUGCACUAAUAAUAAUAAUAAAAAAAGUCUGUUUAAAAGGAACAGUCCAGAAUUCAGGACAAAGCUUAAUACCCCAUGAAAAAAAAUCCUUUUAAUGGAUUCAGAAUGGUGAAAAAGAAAUAACUGCCCUAUUAUCCAGCAAUAUAACUGAUAUUUCUUCAUGUAGAAAUUAACCACCACUCAAAAAGCAAAAGCUCAGACUGAUGGUUUCUAUUCUCCACAAGAUGGCUGCCACAUUGGCAUUAAACAAGCCACAAAUUAAGUUUGUUGUUACCACACUAAAACCCUAAAAUUUAAACAAAAAAUAUUGCACUUAA